rnacentral:rRNA from 1 species
UACGUAGGUGGCAAGCGUUGUCCGGAAUUAUUGGGCGUAAAGCGCGCGCAGGCGGUCCUUUAAGUCUGAUGUGAAAGCCCACGGCUCAACCGUGGAGGGUCAUUGGAAACUGGGGGACUUGAGUGCAGGAGAGAAGAGUGGAAUUCCACGUGUAGCGGUGAAAUGCGUAGAUAUGGAUGGAAGACACCAGUGGCGAAGGCGCGACUUGGGCCAUAUGCGCUGAGGUGCGAAAGCGUGGGGAGCAAACAGG